AGUGAACGCUGGCGGUAGGCCUAACACAUGCAAGUCGAACGGCAGCACAGUAAGAGCUUGCUCUUACGGGUGGCGAGUGGCGGACGGGUGAGGAAUACAUCGGAAUCUACUUUUUCGUGGGGGAUAACGUAGGGAAACUUACGCUAAUACCGCAUACGACCUACGGGUGAAAGCAGGGGAUCUUCGGACCUUUCGCGAUUGAAUGAGCCGAUGUCGGGUUAGCUAGUUGGCGGGGUAAAGGCCCACCAAGGCGACGAUCCGUAGCUGGUCUGAGAGGAUGGUCGGCCACAGGUGAACUGAAACAGGGUCCAGACUCAUACGGGAGGCAGCAGUAGGGAAUCGUCGGGAAGGGGCGAAAGCCUGACGAAGCAACGCCGCGGGAGUGAAGAAGGUCUUCUUAUCGUAAAACUGUGUUAUGAGGGAAGAACAAAUGUGUAAGUAACUAUGCAGGUCGUGACGGUACCUAAUCAGAAGGCAACGGCUAACUACGUG
rnacentral:rRNA from 1 species